UUUGCAUUAUAUAUAAAGUUUAUUCGUCAGGAAACUCUAAACAAACAAUUCAUUUCAAUAGCAUACAACUUAUACUAUUACCAUGAAUCUGCAUUAUAUUCUAGUUGUUACAAAACUUAGAAUAUAUAACAUAGAUAUCAUUGUUCUUCUUCUCUAAUGCAACCAAACGUCUGGUUCUGGGUUGGUGAUGAUAUGUUAGAUGUUUCUGGUUAGAACUGUCGUAGUUUGGUGAACUUAUGGUGGCUUCCGGUGCUAAGGCGAAUAAUUGAGACAUUGCUCAACGACAAUGCCAUUAAUUUAAACUACUAGCACUGUACUAUACUAUCAUGUAUUUUCGACACGAAUAGGGCCUAUUCGGAAUAGCAUAGUACGUUUUUCACCAAGUAUCACAUACCAAAAGCCAAAACAACAUAUUCCCGAAAACCGUUUAUACUCACCACGUACCUACAAUUACAUUGUAAAGAUAAAUUAAUUCCAAUUAAAACCUUAUCGGGUUCGGGACCAACCCCUUCUCUUCCUCACAGCCAGACAUAUAUCGAUCCUCACCACCAGAUCUGUAGAAAUGCAGCAAUUAGAUUGUCGGCAUAAAGCCCGUUCUGGUCCGUGCAUACUGAUUUUAAACAAAUCAAGCGUUAAACAUGAUUAUAAUUAUUACCUCGAUGUUGUGUGCUAUAUUUCUGGCUCAGCCACCAUGACCAUAGCUAUCUGUGAUUUUUGGCAAUGAAGAGAAAAAUAAAGAGAAAUAAAGAAAGAGGACAAAGAAGCGUGUGUUUUAGAUGUCAAUAGGUGAAGGUAGUUUCAUAUGUUUUCC
rnacentral:lncRNA from 1 species